CGACCGGCAGCUUGUUUAUCCUGCAUCCCUGGACAAUUUCUUUCCUCCCUGGAUAAACCACGCAAUGCACACCUUUGUGUUCCCAAUCCUCAUUGGAGAGACUUUGCUUCAGCCUCAUGCCUAUCCAAAGACCAAAACAGGCAUGACGGCAUUAGGUGUUGUAGGGCUUGCCUACUUAAGUUGGGUGAUUUGGGUGUACCUGACUGUGGGUAUCUGGGUGUACCCCCUUCUCUCUUUGUUAAGUCCUGCUGGACUGAUGGGCUUCUUCUUUUUCAACAUGACUGUGGUGACUCUGCUUUAUCUGUUGGGACAAACGCU